rnacentral:rRNA from 1 species
AUGUCGACUUGGAGGUUGUGCCCUUGAGGCGUGGCUUCCGGAGCUAACGCGUUAAGUCGACCGCCUGGGGAGUACGGCCGCAAGGUUAAAACUCAAAUGAAUUGACGGGGGCCCGCACAAGCGGUGGAGCAUGUGGUUUAAUUCGAUGCAACGCGAAGAACCUUACCUGGUCUUGACAUCCACGGAAGUUUUCAGAGAUGAGAAUGUGCCUUCGGGAACCGUGAGACAGGUGCUGCAUGGCUGUCGUCAGCUCGUGUUGUGAAAUGUUGGGUUAAGUCCCGCAACGAGCGCAACCCUUAUCCUUUGUUGCCAGCGGUCCGGCCGGGAACUCAAAGGAGACUGCCAGUGAUAAACUGGAGGAAGGUGGGGAUGACGUCAAGUCAUCAUGGCCCUUACGACCAGGGCUACACACGUGCUACAAUGGCGCAUACAAAGAGAAGCGACCUCGCGAGAGCAAGCGGACCUCAUAAAGUGCGUCGUAGUCCGGAUUGGAGUCUGCAACUCGACUCCAUGAAGUCGGAAUCGCUAGUAAUCGUGGAUCAGAAUGCCACGGUGAAUACGUUCCCGGGCCUUGUACACACCGCCCGUCACACCAUGGGAGUGGGUUGCAAAAGAAGUAGGUAGCUUAACCUUCGGGAGGGCGCUUACCACUUUGUGAUUCAUGACUGGGGUGAAGUCGUAACAAGGUAACCGUAGGGGAACCUGCGGUUGGAUCACCUCCUUA